rnacentral:rRNA from 1 species
CUACGGGUUGCAGCAGUGGGGAAUAUUGCACAAUGGGCGCAAGCCUGAUGCAGCCAUGCCGCGUGUAUGAAGAAGGCCUUCGGGUUGUAAAGUACUUUCAGCGGGGAGGAAGGGAGUAAAGUUAAUACCUUUGCUCAUUGACGUUACCCGCAGAAGAAGCACCGGCUAACUCCGUGCCAGCAGCCGCGGUAAUACGGAGGGUGCAAGCGUUAAUCGGAAUUACUGGGCGUAAAGCGCACACAGGCGGGUUGUUAAGUCAGAUGUGAAAUCCCCGGGCUCAACCUGGGAACUGCAUCUGAUACUGGCAAGCUUGAGUCUCGGAGAGGGGGGUAGAAUUCCAGGUGUAGCGGUGAAAUGCGUAGAGAUCUGGAGGAAUACCGGUGGCGAAGGCGGCCCCCUGGACGAAGACUGACGCUCAGGUGCGAAAGCGUGGGGAGCAAACAGGAUUAGAUACCCCGGUAGUC